GGGCAUGCGGGUGCUAUAAUGCAGUAGACGCUGAGAGAGGAGCUUGCUCUUCUUGGAUGAGUUGCGAACGGGUGAGUAACGCGUAGGUAACCUGCCUUGUAGCGGGGGAUAACUAUUGGAAACGAUAGCUAAUACCGCAUAACAAUGGAUGACACAUGUCAUUUAUUUGAAAGGGGCAAUUGCUCCACUACAAGAUGGACCUGCGUUGUAUUAGCUAGUAGGUGAGGUAAUGGCUCACCUAGGCGACGAUACAUAGCCGACCUGAGAGGGUGAUCGGCCACACUGGGACUGAGACACGGCCCAGACUCCUACGGGAGGCAGCAGUAGGGAAUCUUCGGCAAUGGGGGCAACCCUGACCGAGCAACGCCGCGUGAGUGAAGAAGGUUUUCGGAUCGUAAAGCUCUGUUGUAAGUCAAGAACGGGUGUGAGAGUGGAAAGUUCACACUGUGACGGUAGCUUACCAGAAAGGGACGGCUAACUACGUGCCAGCAGCCGCGGUAAUACGUAGGUCCCGAGCGUUGUCCGGAUUUAUUGGGCGUAAAGCGAGCGCAGGCGGUUUGAUAAGUCUGAAGUUAAAGGCUGUGGCUCAACCAUAGUUCGCUUUGGAAACUGUCAAACUUGAGUGCAGAAGGGGAGAGUGGAAUUCCAUGUGUAGCGGUGAAAUGCGUAGAUAUAUGGAGGAACACCGGUGGCGAAAGCGGCUCUCUGGUCUGUAACUGACGCUGAGGCUCGAAAGCGUGGGGAGCGAACAGGAUUAGAUACCUGGUAGUGCACGCCGUAAACGAUGAGUGCUAGGUGUUGGAUCCUUUCCAGGAUUCAGUGCCGUAGCUAACGCAUUAAGCACUCCGCCUGGGGAGUACGACCGCAAGGUUGAAACUCAAAGGAAUUGACGGGGGCCCGCACAAGCGGUGGAGCAUGUGGUUUAAUUCGAAGCAACGCGAAGAACCUUACCAGGUCUUGACAUCCCGAUGCUAUUUCUAGAGAUAGAAAGUUACUUCGGUACAUCGGUGACAGGUGGUGCAUGGUUGUCGUCAGCUCGUGUCGUGAGAUGUUGGGUUAAGUCCCGCAACGAGCGCAACCCUUAUUGUUAGUUGCCAUCAUUCAGUUGGGCACUCUAGCGAGACUGCCGGUAAUAAACCGGAGGAAGGUGGGGAUGACGUCAAAUCAUCAUGCCCCUUAUGACCUGGGCUACACACGUGCUACAAUGGUUGGUACAACGAGUUGCGAGUCGGUGACGGCGAGCUAAUCUCUUAAAGCCAAUCUCAGUUCGGAUUGUAGGCUGCAACUCGCCUACAUGAAGUCGGAAUCGCUAGUAAUCGCGGAUCAGCACGCCGCGGUGAAUACGUUCCCGGGCCUUGUACACACCGCCCGUCACACCACGAGAGUUUGUAACACCCGAAGUCGGUGAGGUAACCUUUUGGAGCCAGCCGCCUAAGGUGGGACAGAUGAUUGGGGUGAAGUCGAAUCAUGAGCCAGUCUGACAGUGUGCAUGGUGUCGUCAGCUCGUGUCGUGAGAUGUGGGGUAAGUCCCGCACGAGCGCACCCUAUGUAGUGCAUCAUUAGUGGCACUUCUAGCGAGACUGCCGGUGACAACGAAGAAGGGUGGGAAUGACGUUCAUCAUCAUGCCCCUUAUAGAACCUGGGGCUACACACACACACGUGUGCUCUACUACAUAGUUG
rnacentral:rRNA from 1 species